UAGGGAAUCUUCGGCAAUGGACGGAAGUCUGACCGAGCAACGCCGCGUGAGUGAAGAAGGCUUUCGGAUCGUAAAGCUCUGUUGUUAGAGAAGAACGUUGGUAGGAGCGGAAAAUCUACCAAGUGACGGUAACUAACCAGAAAGGGACGGCUAACUACGUGCCAGCAGCCGCGGUAAUACGUAGGUCCCGAGCGUUGUCCGGAUUUAUUGGGCGUAAAGCGAGCGCAGGCGGUUCUUUAAGUCUGAAGUUAAAGGCAGUGGCUUAACCAUUGUACGCUUUGGAAACGGGAGGACUUGAGUGCAGAAGCGGAGGGUGGAAUUCCAUGUGGAGCGGUGAAGUGGGAAAAUAUAUGGAGGGCCACCGGUGGCGAGCGCGGCUCUCUGGUAUCUAACUGACGCUGAGGCUCGAAAGCGUGGGGAGCAAGCAGG
rnacentral:rRNA from 1 species